rnacentral:rRNA from 1 species
UCGGAUUGUAGUCUGCAACCCGACUACAUGAAGCUGGAAUCGCUAGUAAUCGCGGAUCAGAAUGCCGCGGUGAAUACGUUCCCGGGUCUUGUACACACCGCCCGUCACACCAUGGGAGUCGGAAAUGCCCGAAGUCUGUGACCUAACCGCAAGGGAGGAGCAGCCGAAGGCAGGUCGGAUGACUGGGGUGAAGUCGUAACAAGGUACC